AUAAAAAAAAAAAAAGAUGGCGGAGGUGGAGAAGAAGCUCGGAAACAGUGGCGGAGCCGGAGCUCCGAUUGAGAAGGUGAAUCCGAAACCGAGAAAAGGACUCACUUCAAAGCUUGUUGACUUGCUGGAAAAGCUGAUCGUGAAAUUAAUGUUUGAUGCCUCUAAGCCUCUCCACUAUCUCUCCGGUAACUUUGCCCCGGUUCCCGAUGAAACUCCUCCCGUCAAAGACCUUCCUGUCAAAGGUUACCUUCCUGAUUGCUUGAAUGGGGAGUUUGUGAGGGUAGGUCCUAAUCCAAAGUUUACACCUGUGGCUGGAUACCACUGGUUUGAUGGAGAUGGCAUGAUUCAUGGUAUGCGCAUCAAAGAUGGUAAGGCUAAUUAUGUCCGCCGCUAUGUGAGGACAUCACGUCUUCAACAAGAAGAGUUUUUUGGAGGUUCCAAAUUUAUGAAGAUAGGAGAUCUUAAGGGGCUGUUUGGAUUACUGAUGGUUAGCAUGCAAAUGCUGAGAGCAAAGCUGAAAUUAUUGGAUAUGUCAUAUGGACAGGGGACGGCUAAUACAGCUCUAAUUUACCACCAUGGAAAGCUCUUAGCACUUCAAGAGGCAGAUAAACCCUAUGUGGUAAAAGUUAUGGAAGAUGGAGAUCUGCAAACUGUUGGCUUGUUGGAUUAUGACAAGAGACUUAAGCAUUCCUUCACUGCUCAUCCAAAGGUCGAUCCAUUCACUGGAGAGAUGUUUACAUUUGGCUAUUCACAUGAACCCCCGUACAUAACUUACAGAGUUAUUUCAAAGGAUGGUGUCAUGCAUGAGCCGGUACCAAUAACCAUAUCAGACCCCAUCAUGAUGCAUGAUUUUGCAAUCACUGAGAAUUAUGCAAUUUUUUUGGAUCUUCCCCUGUACUUCAGGCCAAAGGAAAUGGUGAAAGACAAGAAGCUGAUAUUCACAUUUGAUGAUACAAAAAAAGCUCGGUUUGGUGUUCUUCCUCGUUAUGCAAAGGAUGACCAUCUAAUCAGAUGGUUUGAGCUUCCAAAUUGCUUCAUAUUCCACAAUGGUGAGGCCACUUACUUUUCAACAUCUAUUUAACAUGCCAACAACAUUCCUUUAAGUUGAUCUCAGAUUACCUGUAUCUAUAAAUUUUGAUAUAGGCAUGCUUAGACAGCUCGCAAAGUAAUUUAAGGUUUUCAUGCUAGAUCCUGGUUUUUGGCAUUAGCAAGAAAAUUGAUAUUUAGUGUUAACAGCUUAUAUCAAGCCUCGUAAUCUUAUAUACACAUACCUAGGCAAAUUUCUUUAUAGCCAGCUUGUGUUUGGCUCUUCAUAUAUUAUUUCAAUCACCGUGUGGCUAUUGUAUAAAAAUUAGUGAAUACAAAAUAGUAAGUUAAAAUAUGCAAACAAGUUACUAUAGAUUAUUAGAUUUAGACUUUGUCUUCAUUUUGGAUUCAUCACGAAGCUAGAAAAAUUAUUUGGUUUGGAUGGGCGUGAGAGUUUGCUGGCUUGUCUUUGGAGUUGUUUGGAGUCCACGAAGUUGGCAUUUCUUUUGCUAUAGUACACAAUCCAUUGCCAUCUGGAACUUGCCUAUAGCUUUUAUACUUUCAUAGAUGCUUUAUAAUGGAAUAUAAAUAUGUAACAACUCCUGUUGGCUUAUGGCAAAGCCAAUCUACAACUGUCCAUUCUGACUUAUUACCUACUCUGUACUAGCCAAUGCUUGGGAGGAGGGGGAUGAAGUUGUUUUGAUCACUUGCCGUCUUGAGAAUCCAGAUCUAGACCUGGUCAGUGGGACCGUCAAAGAAAAACUUGAGAAUUUUGCAAAUGAACUGUAUGAGAUGAGGUUCAACAUGAAAACUGGCAUGGCUUCUCAAAAGAGACUAUCAGCAUCUGCUGUUGAUUUUCCUAGGGUGAAUGAGAGCUACACUGGCAGGAAGCAAAGAUAUGUCUACGGAACCAUUCUGGAUAGCAUUGCCAAGGUAACUGGGAUUAUCAAAUUUGACCUGCAUGCUGAACCCCAGCAAGGGAAAACAAAGCUUGAAGUUGGAGGAAAUAUUGAAGGCAUCUUUGAUCUGGGACCUGGUAGAUUUGGUUCAGAAGCUAUAUUUGUUCCCCGGGAGCCUGGCUCCAGUUCUGAGGAAGAUGAUGGCUACUUGAUAUUCUUUGCGCAUGAUGAAAACACUGGAAAAUCAUCAGUGAAUGUGAUUGAUGCAAAAACAAUGUCAAGUGAUCCUGUUGCAGUUGUUGAAUUACCCCAUAGGGUUCCAUAUGGAUUCCAUGCCUUCUUUGUGACAGAGGAACAACUUCAAGAACAGGCAACACUGUAAUUGUUCAAAAGCAGAGAACAUGGGACUUCUGAGUCAAAAAUAGCAGAUCUUGUGUCAAAUAGAUAUCCAGGAGGCAAAGUGAGGUCCAUUAUAGAGUAUAAAUUUGUUACCUCAUCGUCUGACAUAUAAAAACGUUAAUUGUAAUUUCUCUAUCAAUUAAGAGAUGCUACUUUAGUACUUUAAUCACUGUUCAGUGCCCUAGCUAAAUGGAUAAAGAAGGAAUCAAUUAUUCACUCCCCAUAUUAUCACAUCGUUGGAAAUGAUUUUUAUGCAAGCCAUAAAUUUCAUGUUCAUGAACCAUGACCCAGCAAUUUCCUUGCCCCAUUAAAUUCGACUCUCAGUAGCCUUAUCAAGACGGAGCCAACCCCUCCCUAUUGCUUCAACAAUAAACCAAGAAAGAAACAAACUUCAUUUGACAGGAGAUGCACGACUCAGCUAUUGACAUGCAAAUUUACUAUAUAAAACCUUCCUGGUAUAAGAAGAUGCAACUGAAAACUGCAUAUAUGAAUACAACAUGAGAACAUCUGCAUUAUCUGAGUGAGUUCCCGUAGAUUAGACUAAAAACUGUUUGUCAACACAAGUCUAUCUUCACUUCAAGAUUUCCAUCUAGUCCGCAUGCCCUUAGAAGCAUCAGCAUCGGACAUUAUCCGUGCUUUCUUCCGAGAGAAACAGAUAGUUUGGAAAAAUGCUGCAAUGCCAAAGCAUAUGUAUGUUGUGUCUUAACCCAACUCAAAUCAGGUGGGAGUUGCCUGCAUGAAUCAUUUCCUUCAAUUGCCCGUUUGUCAUGUUUUCCUGAGAUGCACAGAUAUUAAAUCCUUUCUUGCAACUCCAAGAAAGUGCAACCGUCUUCUCCAAAGUGAAUAUUAUAGCAAGAAACAAAUUUCCAAAACAGUUAAACAUAAUCCUUCAACUCCAAGGGAAAAGAAGAAAACUUUUUUCCAUAAUUCCAUCCAUAAUUCCAUAUUCAUAUCAAAUUCCAUUUAUAACAUAAGGGAUUCAUCCAGACUCAUCUCAUCCAACAACUUACAUAAAUGUAAACCUUCUAUCAGAAUCAUUUUUCAUAACACAAAUGUAAUUUCUAACACUUGGAUAACAGCAGGAAUGAGCAUUCAAAAGCAAAAAAAUUCUAAAUAAACAAGGUAAGAUAAUCACAUCAGGAUUCGCUCAUUUGAUAAGUAAGGUUUUAUAAAGUAAAUUUUUCAAAGUAAAGUUUUUUUAUAGCUCUCAAACCUUUAAAUUUUUUAGUGUUUAGAAAGGUGGGAAUGUUUAUUAUGGCAUUUGAAGGUUGUAAUGAGAAAAUCUUGCUAAUCCACCAAUUUGGUGAGUUGUAAAAUAGAGAUCCAAACACACAAGUUCAUGGUUUUUAAAAGUUGACAAACCUCCCAUUACUUUAAGAUACUCUCCCAAAAAUCAAGGGUUUAAAGCCAAGCCUUUCCUAAGCACCAAAAUCAUUUAAACUUUGACAUUUAUACACAAACAAAUCAAAAGCUUCACAGCAUGGCUCAAAGCCUCAAACUAAAGGAUGCUUAACACACACAAUAGAUGUAAAAUGUCUCCAAUUUAAACUAUCCAAUCAAAGCAAACUACAUCCUAAUUUUUCUCACUCAAAAAUUAAAAAUCAAAGCUUUUUUUCUAGAAAAAAAAACAAUAAUUUUUAAAGAAAAAAGCAUAACCCAAUACAUAAAUACACAACAUUAAGCAAGGGGGGGAGGGGUGGGGGGAAUAACAAAAGAUAAAAUAAAAAAAAUUCCUUUGAAAUGAAGAAGGAAAAAAAAGAUAUCCCUCGGCAUUUCGCCCAAUUUCCACCUGGUACAUGAAACCACGAAAUGGUUCCUCAACCUCUUUGCAUUCAUUUAAUGUCUGCACAAAGGGAGCGUCCUUUUUUUUUCUUGAUAAAGAAAAAUUAUUUCAUGUACAUUUUUCAGAUUACUAAAUUUCUCGUCACCGGGAUAUCACAAAUGCAUCUGUAUAAAGUAGAAGAAAUACUCAACAAAAACGAAACAAAAAGAGAAGCAGAUGAAGAGAGCAAGACCCAUGAUCUGAAAUUGAGAUUUAUGAGUUCAUCGGCGGCUGAAUGGUUUGGAUAAGAGAAGGGUUUUGGCGAAGAAGAGGUGAUAACUGGCAAGCAAU
rnacentral:misc_RNA from 1 species